rnacentral:rRNA from 1 species
GACGAACGCUGGCGGCGUGCCUAACACAUGCAAGUCGAACGAUCUGGUAGCAAUAUCAGGGAGUGGCGAACGGGUGAGUAACGCGUAGACAACCUACCUCUUAGAUGGGGACAACAUCGCGAAAGCGGUGCUAAUACCGAAUGAAGUGACUUCCCUGCAUGGGAGAGAUACUAAAGGUGGCCUCUAUUUAUAAGCUACCAAUGAGAGAUGGAUCCGCGUCUGAUUAGCUAGUUGGCGGGGUAACGGCCCACCAAGGCGACGAUCAGUAGCCGGUCUGAGAGGAUGAACGGCCACAUUGGGACUGAGACACGGCCCAAACUCCUACGGGAGGCAGCAGUGGGGAAUCUUCCGCAAUGGACGAAAGUCUGACGGAGCAACGCCGCGUGAGUGAAGGAGGUUUUCGGAUCGUAAAGCUCUGUUGUUUGAGACGAAUGUGCCUGUUUCGAAUAGGGAUAGGUAAUGACGGUAUUAAACGAGAAAGCCACGGCUAACUACGUGCCAGCAGCCGCGGUAA